rnacentral:tRNA from 9 species
GGGGGAUUAGCUCAGUUGGGAGAGCGCCUGCAUGGCAUGCAGGAGGUCAUCGGUUCAAGUCCGUUAUCCUCCAC